rnacentral:sRNA from 1 species
CUCCGGUCCUCAUAUGAUCCUAGUUUACAACAGAAAAGGGGCUUAUAAUUCCUUAGUACCAAUAAUAGAAACGAUCCCCAC